GCCGGCGUAGCUCAGUUGGUAGAGCAGCUGAUUUGUAAUCAGCGGGUCGGAGGUUCAAGUCCUCUCGUCGGCU
rnacentral:tRNA from 1 species